rnacentral:lncRNA from 1 species
UAUUACACAAAGUAUAUGGUAUUUGAGUUCGAUAUUUGUGAUCCUUUUAUUAUUAACAACAUAUAAAUUGGCAGCCACUUUUAUCAUCAGCAUCAUCGUCUGGGCAAUCGCAAGCGAAACACACUGCUUUCGUAAAAAAUCCUAAUUUUCCCUUACCACCACCUUUUUUUUUUGGAGUUUUGGUUGUUCAACUCAACUGUGUUAUGAACUUCAUUUGCUGCAUCAAAAUUCAUGUUGAGUGCUCUAUUAUUAGAUAAUAACGAAGAAUAUAAAAUAUGUUCAAAAAAUAAAAUAUAGCAAAUAAAUAUAUACUAGCCUUCUCUUCUCCCUUGUUUAAGUUCUAAUGUAAAUUAUUAUUUUAUUUUCUUCUAUUGUAAAAAUUAAAAUCCCACCCUUUUCAUAUGGGAUCAGUUAUUAUAUUUACUUACACCAGGCAAAUUCUAGAAUCAAAUUUACCCAUCUAUUAUACGAGAUAUCUUAAUUUUACGGCGAAUUAAUUUUAUCAAAUCGUCUCGUGUUUGAUUUUUAUUUGAAGAGCCUUAACAUCGAUUAUAUGAGAUGAGUUUCACAUGGUACAAUACUUGGAGAAAAAUAUUUAAAUUUAUCCGUCUACUUUUAAUUAUGGUAAAAGUUAUUAUAUUAUUUAUAUAUUGGAUUAGGGUUUCAUUAGCGUCAAGGAUAAUGAGAGACAAUUUACUAAAUUAUUUUAUAUAUAACAAACAGUAAAUUAAAAUAUUUCGUAAAGUAAAUGUUUUUUAAAACCAUUUUCCGUUAAAAUCGCACUUAAUCAAUUAAUUUUUUCAUAUAAAAAUAGUAACUAUAUAUUACUUAAAAGUACAAUUAAAAACUUACUCACUGGGAGUACAGGAUCAGCAAUAACCUCGGAAGAUAUUAUCAAAAGAAUCAAAGAAAAUACAAGCAAAACAUUAACCUUGAAUGCCAUUUUGAAGGAAUAAAAAAAAAACUUUGUCGAUAUUUAACUUAUGGUAUGGAUGAUCAAACAAUAUUUUUUGCUCUCCUAUUUAUAGACAGUCUAGAAAGAUUUGGCUUAAUACCAAACUUUUUUUUAAAAAAAAGUUUAACUUCAGAUGAUGAAUUUCCUUAUACUUAGAUGCCAACUCUUUAAAUUUGUUAAUUUUUUUUUCCUAUUCUUUGAACAAUAUAUACUAUACCAUCGAUCUCUCUAAGAAAAAAAAAGUUAUUCUUUCAUAUCAAAUACACCCUAAGUGUAAAAUGUUUAAAAUCAUGCUCGAUGUUGUCACUCGUCAAUGCUAAUAUUUUAAAUAAGAGAGUAGAUGUUUUUUAUUGUACGUAAAAAUUUUAGUGUGACUACUCGAGCUAAGCUAAGGUUAUAGAUGAAGCGGGAAGAGUGAGAUGAGCUUUUGGUUAUGUGAAAUAGUUAGGAAUGAGAUACGUGGUGAAAAAUCUUUGUGAAAGUGAUUGAGGUUGCUGAUUUUUGGUGAGGAGAUUCGUAAAGUGGGUAACAAAGAUAGACUUGAAUUUUGUGAGUGAUAGAAUACACAAACUAUUGUAUUAUGAGGCUAGUACUCCUUGAUUAUGUUAGACUUGUGAAUGUGAAGAUCGCUUCAGAAUUGUGCAGGAAAACUCUUUGAACAUAGAGAGAGAAAAGAUGAAGAUUGAAUUCAUCGAGAAACUUCCUUAUGUGCCAGCGGUCUCUUUUCCUAUCAGCUAUAUAGAAAAAUAUCUAAUCACAUAUUUACAACUUUGGAAAUAAAACUACAAUGUAAAAUACAGAAGUGGGCUUGGGUACAGCUUGCCAGAUGGGCUUGCUAGGCUAAAUAGGCCUGUGGUUAUUUUGUCAUUCUUGGGCCCUAACACCCCCCCCUCUUGAGGGUGUACAAACACCAAGCUUGUAAAGGAAAUGAUGAUACAGCUGACCAGGAAGAGGCUUCGUCACGAUGUCUGCAAGUUUUUCAGUCGAAUGCUUGUAUUGUAAAGAGAUGAGGCCUGCAGAGAGACAAUCACGUACAUAAUGACAGUCCACAUCAAUGUGUUUCGUGCGCUCAUGAAACAUCGGGUUCUUGGAAAUGUGGAGUACAACCUGACUGUCACAAUAAAGAGGAACAUGAUGAGUAAUAGGUAAGCCAAUAUCACUGAGAAUUCGAACCAACUAAGAGAUUUCAGCAACAACUUUUCGCAAUGCACGAUAUUCAGCCUCCGCAGAUGAAAGUGAAAUGGUAGGCUGCUUUUUUCUUUUCCAAAAAAUGGGACACCCCCCAAGUGUGAUAACAAAACCAGAAAUAGAUUUCCUUGAGGCGGCACAACCGGCUAGUCAGAAUCAGAGUAAGCACACAGAGAAAAAUCAGCAGUCUUAGAGAGGAGAAUGCCUUGUGCAGGUGCAUUAAGGAGAUAACGAAGAACAUGUAACCCAGCAAGCAUAUGAGGAGACUGUGGAUUUUGCAACAACUGACUUAAGUGUUGAACAAAAAAUGCAAUGUCAGGGCGAGUAUGUUGCAAUAAAUUAAGCUUGCCAAUUAGACGCCUGUAACGACUAAGAUCAGGAAGCGGGUGACCCAUAUCAAGGAUGAGUUUGAUCGAUGAAUCCAAAAGAGUGAGUACAGGAGAGAAAUGACCAGCAUUAAACUCAGCUAGAUGGUCAGAUGUAAACUUGUGUUGAUUAAUGAGAAAUCCCUUGGAAUGAGAAGAUACUUCAAGACCCAAAAAAUAAUGGAUAGUGCCCAAGUCCUUAAUGUGGAACUGAUAAUCCAAGAAGGAUUUAAGAGAAUUCAUUUCAGGAAUAUUAUCACCGACCAAUAAUAUGUCAUCAACGUACACCACUAGAAUCACAAGAGAACCAGAAACAUGUUUGGUGAAGAGUGAAUAAUCAUUCUUACUAGAAAUGUAGCCUUUGGAUAACAAAGCUUCAGAUAAUUUUGAAAACCAUUGUCUAGAAGCUUGUCGAAGGCCAUAAAGUGACUUUCUCAACCUGUAAACCAGAGGAGAAGACGAGAGAGAAGUGACAGUGACUUCAAUACCAAGAGGGAUUUUCAUAUUAACCUCCUCAUGAAGAUCACUAUGGAGGAAAGCAUUGUUAACAUCCAGCUGAAAAACAGUCCAGCCCCUCUUGACAGCAAGGGAUAAUAAGCAUUUGACAGUGGUAAGUUUAAUAACUGGAGAAAAAGUCUUAUUGAAGUCAAUCCCCUCCUUUUGAGAGUCACCUCUAAUAACCAACCGAGCUUUAUACCUUUCCACAGAACCAUCAGCCUUGUAUUUGAUCUUGUAGACCCAUUUACAAGGGAUAGAUUUCUUGUGAGGGGGAAGGGGAACAAUGUUCCAAGAAUGGUUGGCAGCAAGUGCAUUGAAUUCCUUUAGCAUGGCCUCUUGCCAAGCAGGAGUAGUAAUUGUCUGCUGGUAGUGUUGAGGUUCAUGAAACUGAGGGACUGCAACAGAGAUCUUAGAAGAGAAAGAAGCUGAGGAACAAAUAAAGUCAAAAAGGUAAGCAGGAGAAGUGGUAAUCCUGGAAGAUUUCCCAGUGGUCACAGGGAGAGCAGAAGGAACAAGUGUGCAAGAUGAGAAAGAAGGAGCAUGGGUAGAUAUAGGGAUAGAAGAAAUAGAAGGAGAAGAAGGAAGGUCAACAAAAAUAGGAUCAGGAGGGGGAAAGAGAGAUGGAGAAGAAGAUUUAUAUGGGAAAAUGUGUUCAUGGAAAGUCACAUCUCUAGAAAAAAAUAAAGAAAUUAGAAAGGGAAAGUAGUUUAUAUCCUUUCUUGCCACAAGAAUAACCAAGAAAAACACAUGAAAUAGACCUAGGUUGAAACUUGUCUCUACCAACUUUAGGAGACUAUGCAAAACAAAGACAACCAAAUGACCUAAGAUGAUCAUAAGAAGGGGGUGAGCCAUGUAAUUUUUCGUAAGGUGAUACAUUUGUCAGAACAUUUGAGGGCAUUCUAUUAAUUAAAUAGAUGAUAGUUAGCACACAAUCGCCCCAGUAUUUUAAAGGGAAAUUGGAUUGGAAAAGAAGGGCUCUAGACACUUCUAGGAGAUAUUUGUGUUUUCUUUUCACAACUUCAUUCUGUUGAGGAGUGUGAGGGGUAGUGGUUUGAUGAAUAAUUCCAUGUUCAGCAAAAAAGGAUAAAACAGUUGCACUACUACCCAAUUCAAAAGCAUUGUCAGACCUAAAAGUUUGAACAGAAGAAUGAAAUUGGGUAUGUACCAUGGCAGUAAAAGCCUUAAGGAUAGGAAAAACAUUGCUUUUACAAGAAAGAAGAUGAUUCCAAGUUACUUUAGUGAAAUCAUCCACAAGAGUAAGAAAAUAUCUAAACCCAUUAUAUGUUUGAGUGUUGUAAGGGCCCCAAAUAUCAAUGUGAACAAGUUGAAAUGAAGUAGUAGAAUGAAUGACAGAAUUAGGAAAGGACAAUAUUUGUUGUCUGGCUAUGGGACAGAUAUUACAAAUAAAAAAUUACGUAUGAGAUACUUUGUCAGACAAAUAAGGAAUAGAAUGCAUUUUGUGAAAAGGCAUAUGCCCCAUUCUUUGAUGCCAAAACAGAUCUAUUUUAUUUAUGUCAGAACUGAGAUUACAAACAGGAAGAACAUUACAAGAAAUAUUGCAAGGAAUAUUAGUACUAGAAGAGGAAUGUAAGCAAGAAGUAGUAGUAGUGGAAUCUGAUGACUGUGGAAUAGUAGUAGGUGAUGAUUUUGUAGAAGCAGGGGAGAAAAGUUCAUCAUCCAGAUGUAGAUAAAAUAGCCUGCCUGCAGCCUUACCAAUUACCAGAGGCCUCUUCAGUGAAGGGCCCUGUAAAUAGCAAUGAGACUUGGUCAGUAAAAUAUUACAAUUUAAUUGAGAUAUAAGCUGGUGAGUAGAAAUUAAGUUGAAUUGAAAAGAAGGGACUAGAAGGACAUAAGAAAGUGUGAUAUCAGGUCUUAAAAUCAAGGAACCAGUGGAAAAAACUUUUACUUUGUAUUCGUUGGGAAGAGUAACUAGGAAAGGUCUAGGGAGAGGGGAAAUGUUGUGCAGAAAAUGUUUGUUUGGUGUCAUGUGAUUUAUGGCUCCAGAGUCUAAGAUCCAUGGAUGUAAACCAACUGAAGCAGAUUCAUAUGCAUGAGAAUUCAAGGAACUAGCAGCAUAAACAGUAAACAAACCCGCAAAGUGUGCAAAACCAGUGAAAUCUGGAGAAAACUCUUCUGAAUUUGGAAAAACACUGUUACAGAAGGGAGCUACUAUACAUUACUAGUGAAAAAGAGUUUGCAGAUGUUGAUACUGCUCUUUGCUGAACCCAUGUGAAUACCCAUCAGUAGUGGAAGUGGAAGAACUGGGCAGAGAUGGAGAAUCAGGCAAAUUAGCAUUAGUUUGGACACAUAAGACAGUUUUCUUGUUCUUUGUGAACUUGAAAUCUGAGGAAAAACCAAUGAGCCUAUAGCAUUUUUCCACUGUAUGCCCAGGUUUCUUACAAUAAGUGCAAAAUAAUGAGGCAGUAUUAGCUGGUGAUGGAAACUAAGGCUUCUUGGAAUCAAAAUUGAUCUUUUGAGAAUAGCCUCUAUUGUUCUGGGGAUAUGUACUUUUAUUACUCUUACUGGAGAAGUUUGAUUGGUAAUAGGUUCUAUUGGUAUUAGGGUAUGAUGAGGUUAGACAGGCAGCUGAGUCUCUAGAAAAUGUAUUAGUAGAGGAGUAAUUCUUUUUCUGACUUUCAUCUUGUAAUAACAAAGAAUAAACCUUGCUAACAGAAGGAAGAGGAGACAUCAUCAAAAUACUACUCUUAAGUGUGGAGAAAGAAUCAUUCAACCCAUUUAGAAAUUGAAAAAGUUAUUGGUACUCUAUGAAUUUAGACAAGGCUCCACAAGUACAGUUGGGAACAACAUAAGAAGAAUUGAGUUCAUCCCAUAGACUCCUAAACCUAGUGUAAUAAGAGGCAAUGCUAGAAGACCCUUGAGUGGUGGAAUGGAUUUCCAUUUGGAGCUGAAUGUAUCUUGAACUAUUUGACUGUCCAAACCUGACAUUCAGAUCCUCCCAUAUUUCCUUGGCAGUUUUGAGAGAUAUGACACUUAUUGCUAUGUCUCUUGAUGCAGAAUAAAGUAUCCAUGCUUUUACCAUGUCAUUACACCGUUUUCAAUAGGGUAAAUAUGGUGAUUCACUAGUCGGAGAAGGUGUCCUGCCAUCUAGAAUACUCAUCUUGUUUUUAGCUGAUAGAGAAGUCAUCAUGCUACUUCUCCAGAUAGUGAAACCAGAACCAGAGAAGGGAACAACCACUAUUUGGCUACCAGGACUAUCCGAAGGGUGAACAUAGAAAGGAUGAGAGGUUUCGAGUGAAAAAGGUGUAAAACCUUGAGUCGUUUCUGAACUCAUUUUCUACGACUUACACUAGGGUAUACACAGUCAAAAUACUACUGCAAUACAACCUAAAUCAGCACAAUACAGCUAAAAUCACCACAAUACAGCUCAAAUCACACAAUAUAGCUAAAAUCACCACAAUAAUGUCGAAAUACGAUAACCACAGUACAACUAAAAUCACCACAACAAUACCGAAAUACAGCUCAAAACAUAAUAAAAACUAUAAAAUAGCCCAGAUCAAACAGUGAAUCGGAGAGCUAUUGGCAACCACAACGAGAUCGUCGAAAUGAUGCUUAUCAAAUUGAUAACGAAGGCUGAGAUAUGAGAGAAGGGAACAAAUUUACCAGAAAGGACUUCAUACAAUUGAACAAAACAGCUGAAAACCUUCAAAACCUCCGAAACCACGAGCAAAGCCAAAAUCUCCAAACCAACACGGCAAAUCGAGAAACUUUUAAAACCAAAACAAGGGUACCAUCGAAAGAAAGCUUAGAAUGAGAGGAAUUAUUUGUUGAGCUUUGAUACCAUGUUAGACUUGUGAAUAUGAAGAUCGCUUGAGAAUUGUGCAGGAAAACUCUUUGAACAUAGAGGGAGAAAAUAUGGAGAUUGAAUUCAUCGAGAAACUUCCUUAUGUGCCAGCUGUCUCUUUUCCUAUCAGCUAUAUAGAAAAAUAUCUAAUCACAUAUUUACAACUUUGGAAAUAAAACUACAAUGUAAAAUACAGAAGUGGGCUCGGGUACAGCUUGCCAGAUGGGCUUGCUAGGCUAAAUAGGACUGUAGUUAUUUUGUCAUGCUUGGGCCCUAACAGCUUAAGCCUGGAUUAUUUGAUUACAGUGAUAAGAUGGGGUACUAUUAUAUUCUUGGAUGGAUGUAGAGUGUAGAGCUCUGCAACUUAGGUUAGCAUCUUUUAACUCUGGGUUAGGCUUUAAUAUGGAAGCAAUGUAUAGUUGGACUCAAGAUAUUAUAAUUAUGCAUUUUGCGGAGGAAUUAUAAGAUUAAAUGAUGAAGUGUGGUAUUCAAAACUGAAUUUGUAAUUGAGAAGUAUUGCUAUAUUUAAGAAUUAUAUACGUAUCAUUGGAGCGGAGGUGGAGAAUGCUUCUAUUCUUAUGCCCCGCUAAAUCUUAUUUCGUGUCAUGUAUCAAUCUUAAUCAAGCCGAGGAUUCCUGAAUAAAUUCAUGUCUUACGUUGUAAUGGUAAUGUUUCAUAGAACUCAUGCCCAAGAUCAUGUCUAUAUCAAGUCUCUCAUUAUCACAUGAUUCGUGCUUACACAAUUUACUUGGUGAUGCCAUGAAGCUCUCUUUUAUUUUGAUGCCUAUAUAUGUUUUGUUGAGGGAAAGUUUUUAUCCAUCAUUCGAGGAUGAAUGAUUCCAAGGGAAAGAUAAUGUAAUACCCUAUAUUUUCAGGCUAGAAUUCGAACCGUCAUUCCUAUGUGUGUAAAUCUGAACGCCAUAAUUUCUAUGUAAAUAUGAGUGUCAUGAUCAUUUACCUAGUAAGUUAAGUGCUUUCGAGGUGAAAAAUGAUCAUCGAAAAUACUUAGAGCAAACUUUUAUUAUUGAUUGAAUUUUGAUAUUCGAUCCACAAGGAUCGACUUUAAACGUGUAUAACUUAUGGAAUAUAUGAAAUUUCUGAGUUAAAGAACCACCAAAUGAAAUAUAAUUAAGUCAUAUUUCCAACACAUCCGAUUUCACCUUAAUUCAAUAUUCGAUCGAAAAGAUAUGAUCAUUUUUCACGAGCGAAUUAACCAGUGAGGGUCUAAGAUAAGGGCUUGGCACCCCCUCUGUGCUCCAUGAUAAGAGCGUGGCAUGCCAUGUAUGCUCCAAAUUAAGGGUGUGGCACACCCAUGUUUUCAGAGAUGCCAAAACUCACGUUCCUUAUUAAUUUUUCAAGGGUAAACUAGCCAUUUACGCUCCAAAUCAUCCAAUAACUAAUAUCAACGUGAUUUGCCUCCUCCAAUAACUCAUCAAAUACACAAUUCAUCUCCUCCCAAAAUUCUCAUAAACACCAAUUAAGGGUUCUUCACCAAAAUUCAAGCUCCCAAAACCUCAAAUUUAAGCUCUUAUCAAUGUUUUCUCACCAAUUCCAUCAUCGAGGGUAUGAAAAACAAAUUCAAGUGUUCAUAUCGAUUUCAAGCUAGGGUUCAAGUUCAAAGUUAAGGAUUCAAGCUUUCUUCCGACUUUCUUCAUUCAAAAAGGCAUGUUGGACACUCCCUAAUUUAAAUAUUAUACUAUUGCAUUAAUUCAGUUGUUAUUUAAAUGUUCUUGAAUGAUUGAUUUAAACUAGGGUUUGAGAAUUGUCAUCUCUAAUAUGAAAUAUUAUUUUUUCUCUUUGUCAUAGAAAAAAAAUGUCCAAAUUGGUAGUUAAUGAUAUGGGUGGGUUAGUUAUUAAAAAAAAAGAGAUAGGUGAUCUCUUUAUAAGUCUUGGGCAAUUCUUCUGUCUUUGAUUUAGCUUUUGGGGUGUGAGUUACGCCAAAGACCUAAUUUUAUAUCAGAGCAGGGUCCAUCUUACAUAAUGUUGGAUUCCCGAAUUAAAAAUUAUUCAUUCACCAGAUAUUCAGUCCGGGGUGUUAGAGAAAAGAGAAAAAGUCCCACAUUAGUGGUUAAUGAGAUGGAUAGUCUCUUUAUAAGUUUUGGGCAAUUCUCCUCCCUUUGAGCUAGCUUUUAUGGUGUGAGUUAGGCUCAAGACCUAAUUUUACAUCUUCUUAUAAGUUGUUUAUAGCCACUUGUGGAUUUUUGAAUUUUUCAAUAACAUGUUUGAAAUUAUAUAGACAAAGAAACAUUGAAUGUUAAGCAUGAUUGAAACCACGAUUUUCAAGUCCUUUGAAAAAACUUUAAAUUGAGAUAAUGAACAAAUAUGAGACCCUAUCUUUUUGAAAUAUUGAAAGUGUUGAACUUUAUGACUGCUUUAGUAUUUUUAUGCAAUUUAAUGAUGAUUAUGAGCAUGAUUUUGAUGAUGGGGUUAAGAAGUCGUUAAUGUUUUAUGGUAAUGUUUUCUUGGCAUGAUAUGAAUGGAUUGCAAGUGUUGGUAUGACAAUACCAAUAUGACUAUGCCUACUGAAUGACUCCAUGAGUAAUGUUAUGUGCAAACUAUUUUAAUUAGGUUCUAAAGAAAAGUUAUAUAGCUCACUGUGAAGGCGUAAUUCUUCGUGACCAAUGCCGGAAACCUGUAUUUAUCGGCAUAGAAAUGACGUACCUUAAUUGGAUGGCCAAAUUGUGUCCUUAAUAUGAGGAUAAUAUAUAUGGUGGGUUUAGUCUAUUUUUGAGUUUAGCCUAACCUCGGUACAUGUGGCCAACACAGAUUGGGGCCCCACCGAAUGGGAAGUACCGAAUCCAUAUAGCUCAUGGGUACUAUAUGACUCAUGCUACAUAUGGGUUAACAAAUGAUAGUGAAAGCUAUACAGUUCAAGCUUAAAUUUUUAAAUGUUCAUGUAACUCAUCCCUUACCCCUACCCCGAUAUUUUAUUAUAUAUAUAUAUAUAUAUAUAUACUUAUUACUUGAUGUGCAUGUGGUUUAUAAAUGAUUUUGGCAAAGGUAUACUUGUUUUAUCCCUUUCCUUGGGUUGCAUUCCAGUACUCGCCAUACUAACCAUCUCCGUACGCUACAUGAUGUAGGUUUGAGCAGUUAGGUGGUUCGUUAUUCUCUCUUUGGACAACUGGUAUUAUAUAUGUGGUGAGCCCUCCAUCAUCUGAAAGACAAUUAAUUAUUCCUCUUAUGUUUUCAGUCCAUCCUUUUAUGGGUUUUUUCGCAUAGUCGGAAUCAUGCAUCAAUUUAGGAAUUAUUCUUGAAGUUAGAGGCUUCGUAGACGGUGAUGGAUUGUUGUUUUGUAUUUUGUUCACAAGAUUUUGUAUAUUACUUUAUUUCAGAUAUUGGACCUCUUAUCUUAUGGAUCAUUUCCACAACUUUAUUUAUGAGUAUGCUUAUGAUAUAAUGCUAAGGAGUCAUCUCAGACUUUCAUUAAUUUGGGAUAUCCGUCAUGGUCAGGACUCCAAUUCAAAUCGUAUAUAUGUGCGCGAUCAUAAUUUUUUACUAGUGUCCUAUCUAGUUUCUAAUAAGAAGAUGGUAAUGAUUGGUUAUGACAUGAUUGUGCUAGGUUCGAUUAUAUUUUUAGAAGAUCUUCUGAGAUAAUCAAAACGAUAUAAUUAAUUAAAAAACCAAAAUACAAGUGAUCAGAGAGCACCGGGCUAAUUUAUGUUUGCCAAAAGGUAUACUUAGGUCAUGCACGGCCAAUUCGUACUAUUAUUGUCGUUUCUUGUGUUUUCAUUAUCGCACAAUUUUGUGGUUGAUUAUUGUUCGUAUUGUAGAUUUCGCAGUGUUCCUUAUUUUCUUAUUGUAGACACGUAAUUUUACCCCUUCAAAAGAUUAAUUUUCACCUUUUUACCCUAUCCUAUUGUGUACCCUCAACCAUGUAAUUAUACCCCACAAAAAAUAUACAAAAAAUAACACCCCUUAAUAAAUUUCCUAACAAUUUUUAAUUUUUAUUUUAAUUAUCCUAACAACCUAUCCAAUUAAAAGACAACACCUCACCUCACUACCUACCUACGCCACGUCACCCCACCAUCUUAACCCCUUAACAGAAUUGGACAAAUACAUGGACCAGAUAACAAACACAAUCAAAAGAGGGGUCCACGUGUAGAUUCCUUUUUCUUAUUUUCCCUUUUCAAUUGAGAAGAUAUAUACAAGGAGAGGGAACCUUCGAGGAAUUUUCCAUAUAUACUCACAUAUUCACUGAAAUCCUCCAUGGUGAUACACAGGAGAAUAUAGCAGAGUACACACUCCUCACAACCUCACAGCAACACACACCAAAAAGAGACCAUCCAUCAAUACCCACUACAAUUUAUUCACAGACCCACACACAUAAAAAAGACACACACACGUAUAUCGAGACAGAAAAAUAGAGUGAGUGAGGGUGACCGAAGAUCGGAGAGAGAGGAAGAAAGGGGUGAAGAGCUGAAAUCGAUCAAGAAAGAGAGAAAAGGCGUUGGUUUUGACUAUUUCCGGUGAGUUCCUCAUCGGAAAUCGAUUGGGAUCAUCACUGAGAAAGCUCCGACGGUCACUGUAGCUACCAUUCAUUCACCGGAAAAUGUUGAAAACAGACAGGGAGGUCCAACUCUGGCCACCAUGGUCAAAACUCGAUUGGACUAACACCAAAGACCAUCAGAAAAAUCAAAAAACCGAUCCUCCCAUUCCAGUUUUUCGGCGAAGCAGUAGCAGGGUACAAAAUUCAGUGCGGGUUCGCCUUUACUUCAUCAUUUUUGGUUCGGCUAGGAGAAAACCAAAGCAAACACGGAUAUAUCGAGUUGGUUUUUUUGGUAUUGAGGUUCGGUUCGAAGAUUCCGGACAUCGCUCCAUCUUUUAAUCGCGUAAUUUGGCAUAAUAAAAGCAUUUGGAAGGUCCAAUUCUAUCUUCUCUCCUUUUAAGUUUUACUCAAUCAUGAAUAUUCGUGUGUUUGACAUGUUUGAAUCUUUAUUACAUGUUGUUUGAUGUCACAUUUGAAUGUGAAAACUUGGUUGGUCAAUUACAUAUUGAAUUUGAUUAGUUUUAAUGGUGUAAGUGAUAAAAGAAAAUUGGGGGUGGGAAUUGAAAAUUGACAAAAAGGGUAGAUUCAGAUAAAUUUUGAUCUAUGGUUGAUAUGAAACAUGAUAGAAUUAUCAUAUGUUGAAAUGGAUAGGCCAAUGUAGGUUCGGGUUGGCAAAUUUAGGAUUAAGAUUUUGAUUGAAUGUUUGAAUGUGGAAUGUGUUGAAUGUUUUUUUGUUUAUUGCAUCUAAUUCAAAAUGUAUUCAUUUGGCCGGGGAAUGCCCCGAAGUAUUUGUAUAUAUAUUUAUUAACCGGGGAAUGCCCCGACGUACUAUUGGCAAAGGCGGAUCGAGAACAAGGCCCGAGGCGUCGGGUAGCGGGAGCGUAGUUAGUAGUAGUAUAAGUUAGAUAGGAUUUAUCUUAGCAUUUUUCUAUUUUGGAUUGUAUAAAUUGGACUGGACACUAUAUUUUGAUUCAUUUUAUUUUUGUUUGUUUGUUUUACGUGUUUGUGCGGUUUGUACAUUCAUAGUGUCAAAAUUAGUCGAUACGUUCCACCAAGCAACCGUGGUCGAACCACGGGAUCGAGAGUUGACUAACACCUUCCCCUCGGUCAACAUAAUUCCUUAGCCAAAAUCUCUGUUCGCAAAUCAGUUUAAAGAGUCAAAUGAUUUCGAAAAGAAUUUUCCAAUGGUGACUUGGCACACCAGAUUAUGCCAAGUGGCGACUCUGAUUUUGAAUGUAAAAACAAUCCUUUUUCGAAACCAAUCUUCAUUUUGUUACUUUAAUAAAAACCCUUUCAAAACCAUGAAAUAUAAUCUUUUUGAUGAUAAAAAGGGGUGUGACAGCUUUGGCGACUCUGCUGGGGACUAUUUCAGAAUUCAAGCUUUUUUUGGAGUUGUAUCGGCUUUGUUUGGCAUUACGAGUGUAUAAGCAUUGUUUGUGAUUUUUGUUUGUGUUUUUCACUUUUGUGCGUUUUCGUGCUCUUUGUUUACAGUAUUUAUCCUAUGUGUUACCGCUUUUAUAUCUGGCAUCACGUGCAUAACCCGAGUCAUUCUUUCCGCAACAAGUCUCGGAGCGUACAUCGUGCGCACCAACUCUAGUUGAGUCACCUUAUUUUAGGGGGGGAGCCGUUGGACGUAUGGAGUAGGUGGAAAGCAAAGCAGCCACUAUGGACCAUAUGCUCCCUCGAACGGCCUUGUUAGUAAACCGCAACGUAGGUCAGCCUUUAGGUCAUUCUUAUGUGCAUCAUAUUGAGACCUAGCGGGGCCCACAUGGUUCUUUGUAGGAGACUCACUCCUAAAGCAUUCCAACGUGCUAAAUGCUGCAUCUUUGAGGAUAACGUGGUCAUUUGACAGACGGAUAUGGGGUAAAGCAUGUGUUAGAAGUAAAGUGUGUGACAAAAAAAAAAGUUCAAAAAAGAGUUUUGUAGUUUUUAAAGUUCUUUAUGGUUUUUGUUUUUCACAAUUCAAAAAUUUCAAAAAAAGAUUUUUUUUACAAUAGCAGUUUUUAUAAAGGAAAAUGCAAAAAAAAAAUGGUAGAAGUUUUGUACAUUUCCUAUAACGAAAAUAUCAAAAAAAAAAUUCUUUUAUUCCUUUACCACGCAUUCAUAAUUCAAAAAUUUCAAAAAAAAAAAAAAUUCUUUCAUAGUUGUUGGUGUCAAAUUAAAAACCCAAAAUUUUUUAUUUUUUUUAUUAUUCAUCGGUCUUUGGUUGUGUUUCUUAAGUUAGGGUCAGUCUGUUAGUUAAUCUUUAUUUGUCCUAUUUGGAUGAACUACGCACCCCUGAUUCUCCUCUCUCGGGAGUGAGAUACGUAGGCAACCUAUUGUGGGUUUGGGGAUCUUAUUUCAAAAAAUUCAAAAAAGAUUUUCUUCACUCUUUAUUUAGAGUAGGUGUUUCAUAUACAUCUUCAAGAGAAAACUACAAAAAAAUUUUCCUUUAAUAGUUUCAAGUUUCAUUUUCAUAUGAAAUUCAAAAUUGAAAUUCCAAAAAGAUUUUUCUUUGGUAAUCAUAGGUUUCGUUUUGUAUAGGUAUUUUAAAAGUGAAGAAUGCAAAAAGAUUUUCGUCAAUUCUUUUGACAAAUUGUUAUUUUCUUUUCUUCUUAAAGUUUCAAGAAAAAGAAUGAAAAAAAGUUUAAUCGGCCAUUUUGGCAAGAUUUCACGAACUACGCACACCUGAUUCUCCUCUUUCGGGAGUGAGAUACGUAGGCGCCCUUCUUGGGUUCGAUGAUCUUUUAAAAAAAGGGAGAGAUUUUGAAAAACUGUUGAACUCUAACCAUUUGCUAUCUCUUGUCCAGUUAGUUUAAGGUGGUUAGUUUGUGGCAUUUUGGAUGGUCCUCCAUAUUGCUUAAAGUCACAGAGAAAGUUAUGGCCAACAAGGAUACCGAGUUAGUUGUCACUAAUCAGAUAGGGAGUUUGGGGAAUGAGAAUAUAGGAGAUAAUGAAGAGAUUCGGAAAUUAAGGCGGCAAAUAAUAGAAAUGCAUCGAGCUUGGGCUAAUGGGUUGCCGCCUCCUCCCGUUCCCACUGAUAAUCUGGAAUAUCUUUCUCGUUUGCCUCCCGUGCCCCAUGCCCGAUUUUUGUUGAUAUGCCACAACAUGCAUCAGGAUCGACUCCCGGGCAACAAUAUCCAACCACUUCCAAUGUUCAUUUCCUCACUCCCCAAUCCAAGACUACCACAUACUCGGCUCCAGAUGUUGUUCAUGCUUUUGUGGCGCCACCCCCACCUGAAGCUCCUACUUUCGAUGUUCAUCCACAAGUUGUGCCUCCCUACUCUACAAGAGAGCCUGCAUUGAAUAUUUUUAGUGAUCAGCAUUAUGCUCUCAAGCCUACAUUUAAGUCGACUGGUCCUUAUAAUUGCCAUCAACCGCCUGAAUUUCCUCCAAAUAAUGAGAAGUCUGUUAUGAUAGAAGAACAAGAGAAAAUAGCCAGAAAAUUGAGAAGUUUGAAACUGACUAUGAAAAACUUGCAAGGACUUGGGGGUACAAAGUGUCUCAUAUGAAGAUUUGUGCAUGUUUCCUGGUGUACAUCUUCCUCUUGGUUUUAAAAUGCCAAAGUUUGAGAAGUAUGAUGGACAUGGAGAUCCUGUAGCAUAUUUGAGACGCUAUUGCAACCAGCUAAAGGGUGCAGGAAGGAAGAAAGAAUUACUCAUGGCAUAUUUCGGUGAUAGUCUUUCAGGUCUAGCUUCAGAAUGGUUUGUUGACCAAGACAUUGGCAAAUGGAUUAGUUGGGAUGACCUAGCUAAUGGAUUUGUGCAACAAUUUCAAUACAAUGUGGAGUUGAUCCCUGACGAAAAAUCCCUAACUAGUAUAAAAAAGAAGAAUACUGAGAGUUUCAGGGAGUAUGCAAUCAGAUGACGCGAACAAGCUGCUAGAGUAAAACCGCUAAUGAAAGAAAUCAAAAUAGUGGAGGUGUUUAUUCAAGCGCAGGAUGAAAAAUAUUAUCAACACUUGUUACCUGCAUUAGGCAAGCCGUUCAUUGAGGUCCUUAAAAUAGGGGAGAUGAUAGAAGAGGGAAUUAAGACUGGUCACAUUGUGAGUUUUGCAACAUUGAAAGCGACUACUCAAGUAAUUCAAAAGGGUUCAAGAAGUGUUGGGAAGAAAAAGAAUGAGAAAGAUGCAUCUGCAAUUAUAGUUGGACAGCAAGAAAGGUCAAGAAGACCACGUCGUCGUCGAUCUCGGGCUCAAGCUCAAGUUUAUGCCCAGGCUCCACAUAAUCACUCCCAAAAUCCAUUAUAAUUUGUUCCUCCACAUCCAUAUCCAGUGUAUAAUGCACAACCAUAUGUUCAACCCUCAUCUUACCCACAAUAGCAUACCCCAACGCCCCAGAGUCAUCCUCUAACUCCACAAACAUACCAAAACCCUUCUUAAGCCAGAUUUUUUAUACAAGCCAAACAAUGAAAUGAGGCAGAAGUCGAGAGAUAGAUUCACACCAAUUGGAGAGUCAUAUGCCUGUUUAUUUUAGAGAUUGGUACAUAAGGAAAUGAUCACUCCUCUCCUUGGGCACACCCUUAAUCGACGUUCAAGAAAUUUUGAUCCUAACGCAUGAUGUGCGUAUCAUUCUGAGGCUCAGGGUCAUAGUAUUGAAGAUUGUCGAGAUUUGAAAAGAGAAAUUGAAAAGAUGAUUCAUGAUGGAUCAAUUAUGGUGUAGAACAUUGAUAAUGAGAAAAUCUCUAGUCAUGCUGAUAUGCAAAUCAGUGGCUAAGAUUGUCAAGCUGAGCAAUUGAGAAUUCACCCAUCUCCCUACUAGGAAGAAGUCUGGUAUUUUGUUUUGUCUUCUUUUCUGUUUUCCAAAUUAUUUCAGGGUUGUAGUUCGGGAUCUAUCUUGUUUUGUCCUUUUGUCGUUUAUGUUCAAACCCUUCUAUCUUUUAUUUUUAUUAAAUGGAGUAUCCCCUUUCCUUUAUGUUUUAAAUUUGUGUUGUUUGUUUGUUUUCUUUACAUAGUACAUUUUAUGUUGAUUCUUCGUGAUAUGACAUGCUAGCGAAAUUUUCAGCCAGAUCUUAAAAUCCACUUGAUCAGGAAGCAUUGGAUCAGAGAGUUAAAAUUAGGAAAAUAAAGUAUUUGAGAAAAUAGAUAGAGUGUUGGGGCAUUUGGUGAUAAGUUGAAGCCUUUUCUGAAAAUUAAGGCACUUAUUUUGAGAAUCACAAGAAUAACUUGGUCAUCAAUUGAAAGACAUGUCUCAAUUAGAUCAAAUAGUAGCCGCGUGAAUAGAAAGAAAAUCAGCUCACAAAAUCAUGAGUCAUUCAAUGUGAGGAAUGUGCAACAAAAGUGGAGUUGUAUGCCAUAUAAACGCAGAUGAAAUAGUGAUGCACAGAUUCAGUCAAGGUUAAUGCUGUGAAAAAAUGUCAAAAGAUCUUCAUCUUUCACUUUCAUAUUGCAUGAUAUAUACUUGCAUUUUCAAAGAUUGAUAUGACGAAGACAUUUCAUUCUGCUAUCCAAACAUCGUGUCAUCCUUUGUUUACCCCAUUUGAGAUUUAGUCUUAUUUUCUUUCAUACACCUCUUUUGGAAUCAAUAUAGUCAGCAAAGCUUUAAAGAAAAGUGUCAAGCAAACCAAUAGUCAGAAAAGUUCAAAAAAAAAAAGAAGAGAAGAAAGAAAAAAUGUGUCCAAAACAAAAAGAAAAAAAGAGUGUCAAAAAAAAUAGAGUCGGAAAAAUCCCCAAAAGAAAAGAGUCAAUAAAAGAAAAGAAAAAAGAAUCAGAAUCAAGCAAAAGAACAAGCUGCAAGAACUACGCAUGACUUAUUUCUCCUCUCUCGGGGGUGAGAUACGUAGGUUUCUCUACUCUGGGCUCGGUCCAACCAAAUAAACAAUUUAGUAUUUUCCAGUCAAAAGAAACUGGGGCAUGAGUUGAUCCUCAUUGUUUGAAUCGAUUCCAAAAGUUGUAAGUCCCACCCCACUUCAAGUGUCGUUUGGGUCUCAAAUCAUCUUUUCUUUCUAACCUUAUCCAAAAGCCAAGUUACAACCAAAGAAAGACCUUCAGAUCAAUUUUUGAGAAUGUUAAGGCUAAACAUGCAAUGGAUGUGAUGAUGCAUUUUGGGAACUACUUGUCUUCUUCGGCAUAAGGAAUCAGGAGAGAAAUGAAAAUGAGAGAGUCUUAUAGGUGAAAAUCCUCACGGGCACCGUAAGACUAUGGUAAGCUGAGAGAGAUAACAAUGAGAGAGUCUUAUCGGUGAAAACCCUCACGAGCAUGGUAAGACGACGGUGAGUUGAGACAAAUAAAAAUAAGAGAGCCUCAGUAGUGAGAACCCUUACAGAUACCAUAAGGCGAUGGUGAGUUGAGAGAAAAAUGAGAGAGGCUUGUUGGAAAAAAUCCUUCAAUGUGCCACUAACCGAAUGAGCUCUUCGAAUGCAAUGGGUUCAAGUGAUAAGUAACUUAGUUUCAGAGCCAUUAACUCAACAACAAUUGGUAGAAAGUUUGGAUGGAAAGAUCAGGCAGUUUGAUCCAAAAUGCAUGGCAUAAUCAUUACAGUUGACUGUCAUUUCUAGAUAAAUUUUUCAUUUCUUUAUUUCAAAUGGGGACAUUCAUUGUCUUUUCUUUCUUCUCUUUAUUUUUAUUUUUAUUUUAUUUUCUUUAGUCAGUUGUCCAAAUAAAAUUAUUAUCAUUUUUUUCUUGUCUUUGAGUCAAGUUCGUGUCAAAACAAGUGAGAAAAGAUCUCAAAACUGGCUACCGGCUUCUUCAAUUGCACAAAGCAAAACAAAAGGACCAGCACAUACAAAAGACAUGAUUGUGAGCUGGAAUAAGGCAUGCAAAAUUGUGUCAACAGACAAGUUUGGGAACUCAUGAAAAUACCAAGGUUCAAAGGGUUUAUCUGAUGAGCAUGGUGAAGCAGAGAUACCAUUUUUGUUUCAGAGUCACUCUUAAUAAACUGAGUUGGGUCAACGAUACAGCAAGUCAAUAACAUAUGCUAAUGGUUGGAAGCAAGGUUAAAUGUAAUGACGGCAACAGCGUUGCCGCGAAAGCCAAAACCACAAACCAGUCACCAUGUUUUAAACUCACAAGUUUUCUUUGUAUGUAAUAGGAAUACAUGUUACAUUCAGAUCAAGGAUUUCAGAGCCUAAACAUCAAAGGCCGUAAUUUCUCGCCUAAACAAAUGCAAGAGGAAAGGUUGCUGCACAGGUUUGGUAAUAAAAACCAUGGUAAAACACAUAAUUCAAGAUCUCUAGGAGACGCACUUCCUUGUUUUAGUAAUUCAAGCAGCUUUGGUGAGGAGACGUAGUUCAUUGUUUUGACGAUUCAAACAACAUUGGUAAGGAAACACACUUCCUUGAUUGGGUAAUUCGAAUUUUGCUUCUUAGGUAAUGCACUUCCUAGCUUAAGUCUUGAUUCCUAGAAGACGUACCUUUUAGUCGAGUCAUUCACCUUGACUCCUAGAAGACGUACCUUUUAGUCGAGUCAUCCCCUUUGAUUCCUAUAAGACGUACCUUUAAGUUGAGUCAUCCCCUUUGAUUCCUAUAAGACGUACCUUUUAGUCGAGUCAUGCUCUUUGAUUCCUAUAAGACUUAUCUUUUAGUCGAGUCAUUUUCCUUUGAUUCCUAGAAGACGUACCUUUUAGUCGAGUCAUUCCUUUUGAUUCCUAUAAGACGUACCUUUUAGUCGAGUCAUCUCAUUUGAUUCCUAUGAGACGUACCUUUUAGUCGAGUCAUCCUCCUUUGAUUCCUAGAAGACGUACUUUUUAGUUGAGUCAUUUCCCUUGACCCAUAGCAAGACGUACCUUUUAGUCGAGUCAUUCCCAUCGACCCAUAGAAGACAUACCUUUUAGUUGAGUCAUUCCCCUCGACCCCUAGAAGACGUACCUUUUAGUUGAGUCAUUCCCUCGACCCCUAGAAGACGUACCUUUUAGUUGAGUCAUUCCCCUCGACCCCUAGAAGACGUACCUUUUAGUUGAAUCAUUUCCUUUGAUUCCUAUAAGACGUACCUUUUAGUCAAGUCAUCUCCUUUGAUUCCUAUAAGACAUACUUUUCCAAUUAACUCAUAGAAGAUGUAUUUCUUUGUGUGAGAUAAUUUUAUUUUUAGUUUUGAUAUAAUUUCAGGAGCCCUCUUGAAGAACAGGGAGAAUACAUGGAAAGUCAAGCAACAAGGUGAAGCAGUUGAAAAGCAAGCAACAAGAGGAAGAAAAUUGAAAGUCAAAUUGAAAAAUAGCAAGAGAGGAGCCCACCUGAAGAACAAAGUGAUGAAAUUGAAAGCAUAGCAAUAAGUUGAUGAAAUAGCAAGUCAGAAACCCACCUGGAGAACAGAGUGUAGAAAUUGAAAGCAUAGCAACAAGUUGAUGAAAUAGCAAGUCAGGAACCCGCCUGGAGAAUAGGGUGAAGAAAUUGAAAGGCAAGCAACAAGUGACGAAAUUGCAAGUCAGGAGCCCGCCUGAAGAAUAGGGUGAUGAAGUAGCGAGUCAAAAGUCCAAUAGAAGCUGCAUAGAUAGGUUUUUUGUAAUUUCAUUUAUGUUUUUUUUUUACCUUGUAAUUUUUAUUUUUAAUGUAAUGACAGAGCCACGGACCGGAACCUCGAUGGAACCUCACUCGACUCUCCAAAUUGGUAUAGUCCAUUUCCUUCCAAUCUUUUGGGAUACCUGUCAAUUGAUUUCCUCACAACUUGGGUAGGUAGGAUGUACUAAGUCAAGACCCGGUUGCCCUUCUUCCUUCUGUUUCUUCCUUUAAAUAAUGGUCGGGACAAAAUUCUGUCUCGUUGUCUACUUCUUUGUCUGAAAACACUACGUGUUUACAUUCAAAGGGGGCAUAAUGUAGACACGUAAUUUUGUCCCUCCAAAAGAUUAAUUUUCACCUUUUUACUCUAUCCUAUUGUGUACCCUAAACCAUGUAAUUAUACCCCACAAAAAACAUACAAAAAAUAACACCCCUUCAUAAAUUUCCUAAUUUUUUUUUUGUUUUAACUAUCCUAACAACCUAUCCAAUUAAAAGACAACACCUUACCUCACUACCUACCUAUGCCACGUCACCCCACCAUCCUAACCCCUUAACAGAAUUGAAGAAAUACAUGGACAAAUAACAAACACAAUCAAAAGAGGGGUCCACGUGUAGAUUCCUUUUUUUCUUUUCCCUUUUCAAUUGAGAAGAUAUAUACACGGAGAGGGCACCUUCGAGGAAUUUGCCAUAUAUACUCACAUAUUCACUGAAAUCCUCCAUGGUGAUACACAGGAGAAUAUAGCAGAGUACACACUCCUCACAACCUCACAACAACACACACCAAAAAGAGACCAUCCAUCAAUACCCACUACAAUUUAUUCACAGACCCCCACACCCACUCUCAAUUAACAAAUGCAAAACAUACACACAAAAAAGACACACACACGCACAUCGAGAUAGAAAAAUAGAGUGAGCGAGGGUGACCGAAGAUCGGAGAGAGAGGAAAAAAGGGGUGAAGAGCUGAAAUCAAUCGAGAGAGAGAGAAAAGACGUUGGUUUUGACAAUUUUUGAUGAGUUCCUCACCGGAAAUCGAUCAGGAUCAUCACUGAGAAAGCUCCGACGGUCACUGUAGCUACCAUUCAUUUACCGAAAAAUAUUGAAAACAGACAGGGAGGUCCAAUUCUGUCCACCAUGGUCAAAACUCAACCGGACUAACACCAAAGCCCAUCAGAAAAAUCAAAAAACAGAUCCUCCCAUUCUAGUUCUUCGGUGAAGCAGUAGCGGGGUACAAAAUUCAGUGCGGGUUCGUAUUUACUUCGUCAUUUUUGGUUCUUCUAGGAGAAAACCAGAGCAAAAACGGAUAUAUCGAGUUGGUUUUGUUGGUAUUGAGGUUCGGUUCGAAGAUUCCGAACACGGCUCCAUCUUUUAAUCGCGUAAUUUGGCAUAAUAAAAGCAUUUGGAAGGUCCAAUUCUAUCUUCUCUCCUUUUAAGUUUUACUCAAUCGUGAAUAUUCGUGUGUUUGACAUGUUUGAAUCUUCAUUACAUGUUGUUUGAUGUCAGAUUUGAAUGUGAAAACUUGGUUGGUCAAUUGCGUAUUGAAUUUGAUUAAUUUUAAUGGUGUGAGUGAUAAAAGGAAAUUGGGGGUGGAAAUUGAAAAUUGACAAAAAGGGUAGAUUCAGAUUAAUUUUGAUCUAUGGUUGAUAUGAAACUUGAUAGAAUUAUCAUAUGUUGAAAUGGAUAGGCCAAUGUAGGUUCGGGUAGGCAAAUUUAGGAUUAAGAUUUUGAUUGAUUGUUUGAAUGUGGAAUGUGUUGAAUGUUUUUUAGUUUAUCGCAUCUAAUUCAAAAUGUAUUCAUUUGGCCGGGGAAUGCCCCGAAGUAUUUUUAUAUAUUUAUUAACCGGGGAAUGCCUCGACGUACUAUGUUGGCAAAGGCGGAUCGAGAACAAGGCCCGAGGCGUCGGGUAACGGGAGCGUAGUUAGUAGUAGUACAAGUUAGAUAGGAUUUAUCUUAGCAUUUUUUUAUUUUGGAUUGUAUAAAUUGGACUGGAUACUAUAUUUUAAUUCGUUUUGUUUUUGUCUGUUUGUUUGUUUGUUUUACGUGUUUGUGUGGUUUGUACAUUCAUAGUGUCAAAAUUAGUCGAUACGUUCCACCAAGCAACCGUGGGCGAACCACGGGAUCGAGAGGUGCCUAACACCUUCCCCUCGGUCAACAGAAUUCCUUAGCCGGAAUCUCUGUUUGCAAACCGGUUUAAAGAGUCAAAUGGUUUCACAAAGGAUUUUCCAAUGGUGACUUGGCACACCAGAUUAUGCCAAGUGGCGACUCUGAUUUUGAAUGUAAAAAUAAUCCUUUUUCGGAAACCAAUCUUCAUUUUGUCACUUUAAUAAAAACCCUUUCAAAACCAUGAAAUAUAAUCUUUUUGGUGGUAAAAAGGGGUGCGACACUUAUAAUCUCCGUCUUCGUGUUCCUCUUCUUUAUAUAUGAAAUAAGGGUGUCAAACAGGCCGGUUUUAACCGACCCAAACCGGCCCACAUAAUUAAACCGGCCCAGUUUGAACUAGCCCGGUAAGCCCAAGGGCUUUAGGGGUCCGGGUCCCGGUCCGAUUGGGUUUUUGAUUUGGGCCCGAUUAACCCGGCCCGAACCCAACCCAGUUUGGGCCCGACCCGAUUAAGUUUUUUUUUUUUUUUUUUGAAAAUUCAGAAUUUCACAAACUGAAAUUAAAAACUUAGUUUUAAUAUAUUAUUAAUUUACUGGUAAAGCAUUCCCCCUAUCUCUGCUAGAAGAAUCUCACGAUCUAAACUCAUUUCUGCCUUCGUUGGACUCUAAACAUGGGUUUUUCUAGCUUAAAGAUCAACCCAAUUCAUGCGAGCUCUGUUUUAGCUAGUUUCUUUGCUCUAGUAUUGUUAAUUUAUUAUAUUAAGUAGCAUAUAUUUUAUACUUUUAUUUAAAGUAGUGUAUAUAUUGAAUGGUAUAUAUAUGUGUGUGUGUAUAUCUUCUAAAUCUAAAGUUUUAUAUAUUUAAUGUACACAUGAGUAUAUAUUUUAUAAAUUAGUAUAUAACUAUAUAUAUAUAUAUAUAGUUAUAUACUAAUUUAUAAAACAUAUACACUUGUAUACGUUAAAUAUAUACGUCUAGAGAAGAUAUAUGCACAUCUAUACACAGCAUUCAAUAUAUAUGUACUACUUUAAAUAAAAUAUAUACUACAAUAUACAUAUAUAUAUACUACAAUAUGUAUAUAUAUGUAUAGUUAUAUACUAAUUUAUAAAACAUAUACACUUGUAUACGUUAAAUAUAUACGUCUAGAGAAGAUAUAUGCACAUCUAUACACAGCAUUCAAUAUAUAUGUACUACUUUAAAUAAAAUAUAUACUACAAUAUACAUAUAUAUAUACUACAAUAUGUAUAUAUAUGUAUAGUUAUAUACUAAUUUAUAAAACAUAUACACUUGUAUACGUUAAAUAUAUACGUCUAGAGAAGAUAUAUGCACAUCUAUACACAGCAUUCAAUAUAUAUGUACUACUUUAAAUAAAAUAUAUACUACAAUAUACAUAUAUAUAUACUACAAUAUGUAUAUAUAUGUAUAGUUAUAUACUAAUUUAUAAAACAUAUACACUUGUAUACGUUAAAUAUAUACGUCUAGAGAAGAUAUAUGCACAUCUAUACACAGCAUUCAAUAUAUAUGUACUACUUUAAAUAAAAUAUAUACUACAAUAUACAUAUAUAUAUACUACAAUAUGUAUAUAUAUGUAUAUUGUAGUAUAUAUUUUAUUUAAAGUAGUACAUAUAUAUUGAAUGGUGUGUGUAUAUAUGUGUAUAUAUCUUCUACAGAUGUAUAUAUUUAAUGUAUACAAGUGUAUAUGUUGUACAAAUUAGUAUAUAACUAUACAUAUAUAUACAUAUUGUAGUAUAUAUAUGUAUAUUGUAGUAUAUAUUUUAUUUAAAGUAGUACAUAUAUAUUGAAUGCUGUGUAUAGAUGUGCAUAUAUCUUCUCUAGACGUAUAUAUUUAACGUAUACAAGUGUAUAUGUUUUAUAAAUUAGUAUAUAACUAUAUAUAUAUAUACAUACAUAGUAUAUACAUAUAUAUUGUAGCAUAUAUUUUAUUUAAAGUAGUACCUAUAUAUUGAUUUAAAAUGAUUUAAAAUGAAUUUCUAGUUUAAAUUAAAAACUUACUUUUAAUAUAUUAUUAUUAAUGAAGAAUAUAAAAUAUGUUCAAAAAAUAAAAUAUAGCAAAUACAUAAAUACUAGCCUUCUCUUCUUCCAUGUUUAACUUUUAGUAUAUAAUUAUUAGCAUUUUAUUUUCUUCUAUAGUGAAAAUUUCCACCCCUUUUCAUAUGGGAUCAAUUUAUUACUUACACUAUGCAAAUGGUAGAAUCAAAUUUAUCCAUCUACUAUACUAUAUGAAAUACCUUAAUUUUAUCCUUGAUUAUAUUUUGGGAUUGUUUUAUCAAAUUGUCUCGUAUAUAAUUUUGAAUAAGUGUUAACAUAGAUAUGAGAUUCAAUGUUACGUUACUUCAAGAAAAGUAUUCAAAUUUAUCAAUCUACUUUUGAUUACGGUCAAAUUUACUAUAUUAUUUGUACAUUGGGUUAGAGUUUCGUCAGCAUCAAGGAUAAUACGAGACAAUAUGCUAAUCACAAGAAUAUGAAUAAUUUUAUAUAGAAGAACGGUAAAACUAAAAUAUUUUGUAUAGUGAAAAAAAAAAUCGAACCAUUUAAAAUUGCACUUAGUUAAGUUUGUCAUAUGAAAAUAUUAAUUAUAUUACUUAAAAUUAUAAUUAAACUCAUGAUAAUCCAAAGCCGUUAUAACCUCUGCCCUUCUUGUGAGCACUGGAUAAAUCCUUCACUGUGUAAUACAUUUCACUAGACACUAGGUGAUAAUUAUACUUUUAUAAGAUCAAAAUGAUGUGAUGUGUUCAACAAUUAAAUAUUUUUUAAUAAUCCCCACGCAUCGCGCAGGUAUAUAUACUAGUUAUAAUUAAAAAACUUACCCACUGGAAGUACAGGAUCAGCAAUAGCCUCUGAAAAUAUUAUCAGAAGAACCAAAGAAAAAAUAACCAAAACAUUAGCCUUGAACGCCAUUUUGGAUGAAUAAAUUUGAAAAAAAAAAAACGUUGUUGG